CCCUUAGAUGUCCUGGGCCGCACGCGCGCUACACUGACAUGUUCAACAAGCCUCCUAGUUCGACAGGAUUUGGGAAAUCUUUGAACGCAUGUCGUGAUAGGGAUAGAUCAUUGCAAUUAUUGAUCUUGAACGAGGAAUUCCUAGUAAACGCGAGUCAUCAGCUCGCAUUGAUUACGUCCCUGCCCUUUGUACACACCGCCCGUCGCACCUACCGAUUGAAUGCUCAGGUGAGCCAUUCGGACUUUCAUCAUGCUGGUUUCCAGUUUUGAUGAAGGAAAGUCUUGCGAACCUUAUCAUUUAGAGGAAGGAGAAGUCGUAACA
rnacentral:rRNA from 1 species